CAGGUUAAGUCAAACUGGUUGUGCUGGGAUUGAGGCAAUGAAUGGCGCAGGAAGGCACCGGUCUGUGUGUUCCCUUAGGAGUUUGCGUAGAAGUGUGAGAUAGGGCAGGUGGGGCACAAGGGGAGGAGGAGUGAUUGAAAAGAUUUGGGUGAUUAAGAAAGGGCACCCAUAGAGUUGCUCAAAGGGGCUAAGGCCUGAGUGAGCCCUUGGGGUUGCCUGAAUUCAGGUGAGGGCCAACAGCAGGAGAUUGGGCAGAAGAGCCUAAGUUCGAUAGCAUGUUUAGUGAGAUGAUCCUUGAGAAUGCCGUUAGGCCUUUUAACUUUACCCAGUGAUUGGGGUUGGUAGGAGAUAUGGAGCCUCCAAGUGAUGUUGAGGCCUUUGGAGACUAGUUAAACAACCUGAGAAGUGAAGGCCAGACUGUUGUCUGACUGGAUGGAGGCAGGAAGUCCAAACCAGGGAAUGAUCCGCUCAAUGAGGAUGGAGGCAACAGUGUCAGCAGUUUUCCUGGAUGUAGGGAAGGCUUCUAUUCAACCUGAAAAAGUAUCAACCAAAGUAAGUAGGUAGUGAAGCUUUUUGUGCCUAGGCAUGUGGGUGGAGUUGAUCUGCCAGUCUUUGCCUGGCUAGUGGCUCCUCAUCUGAGGUGUGGGGAGUUUAGGUUUGAUGCUUCCUCGUGGGGAUGCUGUAGAGCAGACAGAAUAAGCAGAGUGACCUGCUGGAGAGUAGUUCUCAUUCCUAUGAAGUAAAAGAGGGGUUGUGAAAACUGGAAAAAGGGGUUAGAGAGGGUUUUAGAUGGGCACAUAGUCUCUGGAGCCAGAGGAGUUAGUCAUGAGUCAUAGGUCUCCAUCUUGGGCACCAGGGCUGGUAGUCUUAAAGAAGUAGUUAAUUGACUGACUGGUUGGUGAAUCUAUAUAUCUGAUCUUGCAGGAGCUUCUGUAGGCAGUUUAACAGACAUGGUCCUAUUAGUGGUCCUAUUAGGAGAAACCUAAAGAGGACUAAUAGGGGUCCUGUGAGGGGGAGGAGCCAAGGCCAUACUUGACUGAACAUUCCCCAUGGAGCCUGUUGGCCUAGUUGCUGUCUCCUCUUUUUUAGCUAUUUUUGUCUUUCAUUACUCCUAGGAAUGAUUUUUUGGCUUAACUGUUUCUAUCUAUUGUUAAGAGUCAGCCGAGUUCCCACAGGGGUCGCUCGUGGGGGAACUUGAGAGCAGCUUCUUAGUUCUGUUAGUGCCAUUUUCGCUAGGAUGGGUCCAGGUCUUGCUUGACCAUGUGGCUUCCCUUGGAAACAUCAGGGAAUGUCUCCCUUCUCUGGUGACCCUCCUAUUCACAGCAAAUGCACAGAUUGGCUUUUCAUUCUCCAGUGGUCUCAAUAAUCUCCCUGAUCAGGAGGUUAUGUGGCCCAGAGUUGCAAAGCUCUUUAGAGAAGUUCCCUGUUCCCUGGAUUCAGACUGACUCAGAGGGCAAGAGCCAAACAUUGGUUUUCUUGGCCCUUUUAAUUUAACUUUAAAUUGUGAUCAUAAACAUCUAGCAAAGUCAGUUUCACUUUAAAAUAAGAGUACUGGGCUUUACCUGAAGUCUGGCCUGCUUUGGAGUCAUUCUUACAUGUAGUAAGAUGGGAGGCACAACUUUAUCUCAGGUAAGGCGGGGUUCUUCAUAAAUCUUUUUUUUUUUUUUUUAAAGAGAAACAUUUAUUUUUUAGUUUUCGGCGGACACAACAUCUUUGUGUGUAUGUGGUGCUGAGGAUUGAACCCGGGCUGCACGCAUGCCAGGCGAGCGCACUACUGCUUGAGCCACAUCCCCAGCCCCAUCUUCAUAAAUCUUAAGUGCUAUAGUUCUGAAGCUGAUCUUCGCUUUUUAAAUAUCAUUUUACAAAGUUAAAUAAAUUGUUGCUGAAGUUCACAUGAAUAUUAGCUAACAUAAUAUAAUAUCACAUCUAAAAUAUGAAUUAAAGAAAGGCUGAAAGCUUUUAACCUUUUGUAGAAAAGUAGCAAAGUACUUUUGUGUUUUGCAGUACACAAUUAAUCACAUCUGUUGACCAUUUCAUGAAAACAUAAACAAUGUUUUAAGUAUAUGGAAUUAUACUGUUGUAGGGAUGGACAAAGCAAGGCACCUAAGAUAGCACUGAAGAUAGGGAAACAGUCCUAUUUGGUUGCAACCGGAUUCAGAAGGCACUGCUUCUGUUGUAAUCAAUUAAUCCCCUGAGCCCCAAGUUUAGGAAGUUUCAGAAUUUUGCAUCCAGCAUGUAAGGGGAGGGGCUCAGAAGUUCACAGUCUGCAGAAGUUCACAAAAAGCAGUUUUUUUUUUUUUUUUUUCUCUGUUCUGGGCAAGUUAACUUUUCAAGGACACCUGGGAGGGGGAGAACUUUUUCUUUUCUUUUUUUCCUCCCCCUGCCAGCUGUUCCCAUGGAGCCCAGUUGGUAACUUCCUUAUCUUAGAAAUGUAGCUAUCUCUGUGAAGCCCAGCUCAAGGCCAGAGGCCUUGUUCACAUAUUUUGUGAAAAAACGAGUAAGGGGGUGUCUAGCUUUUGGAGUGCUGAUUUUUCCAGCCAGUGGCCAAGUAGAACAGGACAACAUGAAAAGAGAAAGUUUAUCUACACUGAACUCUUUUAUAGGGACUCUUUUGCUGAAAGUCCUAAAGUCAGCCAUGGUGAAGACUUCUGGAGAAGGUCAGUUAAGACUUUUCUGUGGGCCUGGAAGGGAGUGGGAAGACGGGAAGGUGGGGCUGAGACCAGCUCUGGUGGAUCUGAGAAUGAGGAAGGAGAGAUAAAAGAAUAAUGGAAAAGGGGUUUGGGAUUUUCCUAGCAACAAAAACUUGAGCAGUAGAACAGGUAGAGCAGAGGGGAAGAUGGGAGCGAGUAUCCCAAAAAGCCUGUGAGGGACAUUAAAUUUUUAGUAACCUGUUUUCAGUGAUGACAAAGCAACUUUAAAAGUCAUUUUCACCAGAUCUCUGAUACGGGUCUGAGGGCUCUCCUCAGCUGGUUUGAGCUUUGGGUUAGCUGGUAAAAGGACCUGGUGGGACCCGGUGUGGGCACUGACAGGAGAAGAGAGGAGUGAGUGGGUAGAGGGGUACCUCAGUACCUGCUACCUCAGCAAGGGGGCAAUGGUCUGAGAACCGGCGGAGGUUUGGUUUUUUGAUCCAGUAAUUAGAGGUGAGAAAUCAGGUUGCUGAGGUGAGGGUGACAGCAGAGAGUCUGGGGCAGAAGGCUGAGGGUGAGGAUCUAUUGGAGAAGCAUAGUUCAGAGUGGGAGCGAAGGAGGGAAAAGGCCUCCACAUAGGGGGAUCUCCUUCCACCCUUUUGAGCACUUGCAGAAGUUAAAAAGGUCAUGCAGAAUUUGAGGAUCUAGAGACCCCUCUGGGGGCCAUCAGUUUUGGUUGUCUAAUUGGUAAUAUGGCCAAUUCUGUGUACUGAAUUUGAUGAGGAGUGAGGGUUUGAUGUCCGGAGUGAGGGACAACCGGUUGAGGUUAGCCAGACGGCAUUUGAGAAGGGAAUCAGCGGGGAGGGAAGAAGAGGCUCCCAUGAUGACUCUCGGCAGGAAGAGAAGAGGUGAAUGGCCUGGACUGGAACAGAAUUUGGUUGAGUUUCCUUCAGGCAUCCCCAAAAGGAGAAGUCAACCAAAGACACUCGGGAGAGCCGGGGCCGGGAGGGCAAAUGAGUCGUCACCCAAGAGCCCAACCAGCGAGACCUUAAGGCCGGGAGUCACAGGCCACCUGACGUCAGGGUUUUUCCAAGAGAGGAGAAGGAGAUAAAGAGAGUCAGGGAGUGCCUAUUCUUCUGUCCCUUAUAGCUCAUGAACCAUGAGAUGGGAAUCCAGAGAGUCUACCAUAACUAUGAAAGUUGUGGUGGGGUGCGUUCUCUCCUCCAAACUAGGCGUCAAGGGCCUUGCUGGACGUUCACAGUCAAGGCCUUUUGCAUAUAGCCGUUUGGAGAUGGAUUCCCAAAGAGGGGGAGGAGGACUCACCGGUUGUCGAUCAGAAGUAGUUACCUAUUGGAGAGCCGGUGUUGGGUGGAAUGUAGCAGCGCUCAAAAAGGUGAACAAGGACAGCAAACCUUGAGAGAGGGGGUCCUCAGAAUGAGGAAUUUCCCCUCCUGGGUUUCGGCACCAAUGAAAGGCCAAGGUUGGUCGUCUGAGAUUAAAAUGCACACACACAGAUAACAGUGACAAAGAUGAAGCACUUUACUGCAAGCUGGUGCUAGCUUAUAUAGAAAGUGAGAGUCAGUUAUCUUAAACCAGGAAGCUCCCUGGGCCAAUCAUAGUAAAGGUCAGGUCAUCACCUACAGUCCACGCACGUCUGCCCUGCAUAAGAUUCAUGGGGGGCACGAAUUAUAAAGAGUAACCGGUGAAUGUUGUAGCCCAGAGAAAGCCAUUCUAUUGCAAUAAACCAGAAAACCAAGUUUCAUCCAGAAAAUAGUGGAUACCUUUCUCUAAUUAAUGCACCUGUAAAAGUAAGACGUGGAGUGUGGAGCGUGGUGGUGUGUACCUGCCAUCCCAGUGAUUUAGGAGGCUGAGGCAGGAGAACUGCAAGUUUAAGACUCUGUCUCAAAAUAAAUAAGUAAAUAAAAAUAAAAAAGGGUCAAACCAAGGUUGUUCACAAGGGCCUGAGGCAGUUCAGCAAUAAGUUUUAUGUGACCUUACCUCCUGGGACACAGAUUUUAAAGGCACACAUGAAUCCCCUCUCUGGGCACAGAAGAAAUGGUAUCAUAUUCAAUGCAGUCACAUCCACAAAUUCAAGUCCAUACUUCGCUUCAAAGGCAUCCUAUUUCUCAUAUUUGUGACUAUAUGAAGUUUUCAUUGUGAAAUACUGUGGAACUUAGCAAGAUCAUUUCAAAAUGAAAUCUCUGAAGUAUGAGGUUGAGAGCUUUUUAUAAUUUAGGCAAGCCUGGAGGUUCCGAGAUAAAUUACAACCCAUCUGGGGAGACCUUAAGAAUUUAGGGGUGGGAGGAGUCCAGAGAGGCUUGGGGUCCAUCCACGAUUGACUAGAAGAUAAUAUUAAGAGACAGAAACACGCGCGGUGGGUGGGGCGGUGGGGGGUGCGGAUUUUUAAUCCCAGCGACUCUAGAGGCUGAAGCAGUUUGAGGCCAGAAUAGAUCCUGUCUCAAAAAAUAAAUAACAAGGGAUUCCACCUCUUGGGUCCCCUUCUUCCUCCGGGAGAAGUCUUUUCUGCUGUCCUUUAAUAAACUUCUAAUUUCUACUCUGACCUUGCCUCGGCGUGCUUCUUUGGUGUUAUUCUUCAACAUUGGGGAAGCAAGGACUCGUCACCGGUCAACAGCGGUAACAUAUUGGAGGUCCCAGACCGAGAUUCUACACCGAGGUAAGUGCACGCACCCCAUGUCUGUUUGAGGUGCAUCUUUCUCUCUCUUUCUUUCUGGAGGGUAAGAUGGGCACCCGCCGCCANNNNNNNNNNNNNNNNNNNNNNNNNNNNNNNNNNNNNNNNNNNNNNNNNNNNNNNNNNNNNNNNNNNNNNNNNNNNNNNNNNNNNNNNNNNNNNNNNNNNNNNNNNNNNNNNNNNNNNNNNNNNNNNNNNNNNNNNNNNNNNNNNNNNNNNNNNNNNNNNNNNNNNNNNNNNNNNNNNNNNNNNNNNNNNNNNNNNNNNNNNNNNNNNNNNNNNNNNNNNNNNNNNNNNNNNNNNNNGAUUCCUAAGGUUCCUUUCUCUUGAGCCCCCUCCCGACAGCCCUCAGGGGUAUCUAGGGUGAUCGGUAGAUGAAUGGCACUGAGGGAAAGCCCCAAUCACAUUUGCCUCCGUAUGGGCCAUGCAACACUCCCAACCUCGCAUCCAUUCCUCCUGGAUGCUCCCCUUCCUUCGCAGGUCAGAAAUGUUAGCAAUUCAGGUUGUAGGACUGAGAGAAAGGCAUGGGAUAAUUAGCAAAAUCUGCCCAGGUUCCCUAAGAUGCAUAGGUAAAUUUCACUAGUCUGUUUUACCGCCCCAAUGUUUAAAAUGUGUUGUGUUCCCUAAGCUGCUAGAGAGGCAUUUUUAGAAUCAACUCCUCUGGUAAUCUGCUACCUUACAACCAGUAGAUAUCCCUUAACACUUAGGCGGCUCCUUUAGUCUACAGAGCAAAGGCAACAAAAGAGCACACGAUUCUCUUUUGCAAUGGGUUUUUAGUGGCCGGGAGGAUAAGCAGUAAUGCCCUUAAGUCUGAAUCCUCCCAGGGUCUCUGGCACAGGGCAAACUGAGACCCUAGCACUUUGCUAAAGGGGACCAGAAACCCCUUGGCAAAGCAAGGUGAGAGACGGGUUUUCUGGACCGUUUAGGAAGCUCAAGCUUAGGGAGACGUCCCUAAUGAGAACAGUUUUCUCCAGCGCGGCAUGGGCGCCUGAGUCCUGUUUUCUUCUCACUCAGACGGGAGCUUCUCUCUCUCCAAUACGCCAGGUGCACCACUAGCCUGCGUAUUGAAAAAUUGGGAUAAAUUUGAACCUCAGAUGCUCAAGAAAAAGCGCCUCAUUUUCUUGGCCUGGCCUCAAUACAAACUCUCUGAUGAAGAAACCUGGCCACCAGAGGGAAAUAUCAAUUUUAAUACAAUUUUACAGUUUGAUAAAAUUUACAAAAAAGGAAAUGGUGUGAGGUGCUGUAUGUUCAGANGUGCUUCUCUGAUGUUAUUCUUCAACAUUGGGGAAGCAAGGACUCGUCACCGGUCAACAGCGGUAACAUAUUGGAGGUCCCAGACCGAGAUUCUACACCGAGGUAAGUGCACGCACCCCAUGUCUGUUUGAGGUGCAUCUUUCUC
rnacentral:lncRNA from 1 species